ensembl:processed_transcript
CUGAUUCUCCUGAAGAAUCCUUACAAGCAGGAUGAUGUUGAACACCCUCCUCUUUGUUGCUGGAUCGCAUACCAUGCCAUAUGACAAAGACAUCCACAUCACUUCUGUUUUUUUGUUUUCUUUGCUUCUGCUACUGAAAAAAUGACAAUAAUAGUAACACUUACAAUUUUUCAUGACUACAUGUAAUAUUAAUAAUAAUUUCCUCACCUGACCACUCCUCUACAUCACAGACCAAAGUCUUCCAACUGGUUUCCGGUCACUGCCAGUUCCAUGGAUUCUGUUUUGCAACUUGCUUUGCAGAGCUGUUGUGGUCUUCUGAUAUCAACAGGUCAGCAAGAUGGCCAAAUUGUUGAACAUCUGCUAAUUCCAGCACAUGACCAUGAUAGUUACAGUAGCAUGUCUGGUCACUGCAAUCAGUCACUGGAGCAAGGCCCUCUCACAGUUGGGAAAAUUCGAGUUCCUUUGAGCCUUGACUGAUUCCAGAGUGGUCUUGGCCUUCCUUACAUGGCGGUGCUUCCUGCAGAUCACCAAGUUGUCAUCAAGACUUGAGCUUAUAAUUGAGAUCCUGAUGAUCAAUCUGAGUAUCAAGG